CAAAAAAUAGUUUAUAAAAAUAUUAAUUUUGGAGAUUAAAGAUAUAAUUUUUUAUUAUUUUUUUGA
rnacentral:tRNA from 1 species